rnacentral:rRNA from 1 species
CGAAUUCCCAAUACUAUCGGUACGGGUUGUGGGAGCAAGAGCCCGGAGAUGGAUUCUGAGACACGAAUCCAGGCCCUACGGGGCGCAGCAGGCGCGAAAACUUUACAAUGCAGGAAACUGUGAUAAGGGAACCCCGAGUGCCCGUAUGGACGGGCUGUUCAGGUGCUUAAAAACCACCUGGAGAAAGGGCCGGGCAAGACCGGUGCCAGCCGCCGCGGUAAUACCGGCGGCUCGAGUGGUGGCCACUAUUACUGGGCUUAAAGCGUCCGUAGCUUGGUCGUUAAGCCUCUGGGGAAAUCUUCCGGCUCAACCGGAAGGCGUCUCAGGGGAACUGGCGACCUAGGGAUCGGGAGAGGUGAGAGGUACUCUGGGGGUAGGAGUGAAAUCCUGUAAUCCUCAGGGGACCACCUGUGGCGAAGGCGUCUCACCAGAACGACUCCGACAGUGAGGGACGAAAGCUGGGGGAGCAAACCGGAUUAGAUACCCGGGUAGUCCCAGCCGUAAACAAU